rnacentral:rRNA from 1 species
CUGCCCAUCAGAAGGGGAUAACACUUGGAAACAGGUGCUAAUACCGUAUAACAAUCGAAACCGCAUGGUUUUGAUUUGAAAGGCGCUUUCGGGUGUCGCUGAUGGAUGGACCCGCGGUGCAUUAGCUAGUUGGUGAGGUAACGGCUCACCAAGGCCACGAUGCAUAGCCGACCUGAGAGGGUGAUCGGCCACAUUGGGACUGAGACACGGCCCAAACUCCUACGGGAGGCAGCAGUAGGGAAUCUUCGGCAAUGGACGAAAGUCUGACCGAGCAACGCCGCGUGAGUGAAGAAGGUUUUCGGAUCGUAAAACUCUGUUGUUAGAGAAGAACAAGGAUGAGAGUAACUGUUCAUCCCUUGACGGUAUCUAACCAGAAAGCCACGGCUAACUACGUGCCAGCAGCCGCGGUAAUACGUAGGUGGCAAGCGUUGUCCGGAUUUAUUGGGCGUAAAGCGAGCGCAGGCGGUUUCUUAAGUCUGAUGUGAAAGCCCCCGGCUCAACCGGGGAGGGUCAUUGGAAACUGGGAGACUUGAGUGCAGAAGAGGAGAGUGGAAUUCCAUGUGUAGCGGUGAAAUGCGUAGAUAUAUGGAGGAACACCAGUGGCGAAGGCGGCUCUCUGGUCUGUAACUGACGCUGAGGCUCGAAAGCGUGGGGAGCAAACAGGAUUAGAUACCCUGGUAGUCCACGC